rnacentral:rRNA from 1 species
GAUGAACGCUGGCGGCGUGCCUGACACAUGCAAGUCGAGCGAGAAUUGAUGGAAUGAGGACUUCGGUCCGAGUGAAGUCGAGGAAAGCGGCGGACGGGUGAGUAACGCGUGGGUAACCUGCCCCAUACAAUGGGAUAGCCACUGGAAACGGUGAUUAAUACCAUAUGAUGCUUUAUAAUCGCAUGAUUUAAAAGCUAAAGAUUUAUCGGUAUGGGAUGGACCCGCGUCUGAUUAGCUAGUUGGUGAGGUAACGGCUCACCAAGGCGACGAUCAGUAGCCGACCUGAGAGGGUGAUCGGCCACACUGGAACUGAGACACGGUCCAGACUCCUACGGGAGGCAGCAGUGGGGAAUAUUGCACAAUGGGCGCAAGCCUGAUGCAGCAACGCCGUGUGAGUGAUGAAGGCC